GCCAGAGAAGCAGCAUGUCCCCUCUCAUACACCGUAGGUACUUGAAGUUUGGCACCGCAAAAAGGAUCAUGUACAAGGUAGCAGGGGUGGCUGCUGUGCCUGUAACUCUCAGCCUGAUGUCAGGUACUGUGUUAGCUGCCGCCGAGGACAAGCCCAAUGUCACCUUAAAUACAAAUGAGCUCUCCCUCUACACUACACCGCAGCAGAAGUUCCGCUAUGUGGAGCCAGAUAUAGGGCACUUGGAGCCAGGUGUUACCACUCUAAGGAAACUGGCAGAGCCAUAUGUUACUCGGUGUCAGAAUGGUGUCGUCUGCGUAGAGGUGGAUCAAAUAAUCACCAGCAGCGAGAGCGACAUCAUUGAUGUAUACAGAGAAGAGAGUCGGCCCGAGAAUUGAACCCUGUGGCACCCCCAUAGAGACUGCCAGAGGUCCGGACAACAGGCCCUCCGAUUUGCCACAGUGAACUCUAUCAGAGAAGUAGUUGGUGAACCAGUCGAGGCAAUCAUUUGAGAAACCAUGGCUGUUGAGUCUGCCAAUAAGAAUGUUGUGAUUGACAGAGUCGAAAGCCUUAGCCAGGUCGAUGAAUACGGCUGCACAGUAAUGUCUCUUAUCAGUUGCGGUUAUGAUAUCGUUUAGUACCUUGAGCGUGGCUGAGGUGCACCCAUGACCAGCUCUGAAAGUGUUUCCUAGCCUUAGUGCAGUGGGCAGCUGGGAGGAGGUGCUCUUAUUCUCCAUGGAGUUUGUGCUACAGGAUGCAAAUUUCUGCUAGCCUUAGCUUUCCUAACUGCCUGUGUAUAAUUGUUCCUAACUUCCCUGAAAAGUUGCAUAUCACGGCGGCAGUAAAUCUGUACAUUUCACAUGGAUCAGUAGACCUUUACUGUGAAUUCAUGCUGCAAUCGAUAAUCAUUGCACGUGUUGGAAUGAUUUUGUCUGUCUGCUGUGAAGUGUUAGUUGUGAUUGUGCUGCUCUGCUUCUGCCCAUGUGAUCACACCAACGAUCUGCUACCCUUUUAGCAAACAAGCCAUUCGACAGUGGAAAAGGUUCAGGUACUCCCCAUAGCCACGAACACAUACACUUGUGUACACACACACACACAGAAUCAUCAUAAACUCAAAGAGGGGGAUAAAGAUUAAGCUGAUUAGUUAAUUUUAAGAGACUGGUAAAGUACUCUAUAAAGAAUGUAAAAAUUCACAGGUACUGCUGACACAUGCCAGACCUUACAAUGCCUGGAUAGGUCCUUUUUUUGUAUCAGCUAACCACAUCAUAUGUUUUAGCAAUCUGUGAGUCGAUGACACACUCAACCAUUGGUUGAUGCAUGCAACGUCUGAGUAGGGGAUCUCGACAUCUGUGUUUGUCACUGUGUUCACUGUUUCUUAGUUGCCCUCCUUACCUCUCCCCAUUGACUCUUUCAGUCCAGAGAUAAGCAGCUCAUUAACAUACAGCACAUGUUUGUCAGUACAGCGACUUGGCUGGAACUUUAUUGGUAGUUGUUCUUGUACAGUGCAGAAUGUCUUUACAAUGAGUCAAUGGUACACAAAGUGCUGUGGUUUGAUGUUCAACUCAAGCACUCUACUGGAUAACAGAAUGGCCAGUGCUUAAGGCCCACAGAACUGGAUGAGGUUUCUGGGGGCAUGGCAGUCCUACCACUAGUUAUACUACCAGUACAAACAACGUAAAGCAUCACAGGUGCACAGUGUGCUCAGUAACCUUAAAUUUAAGACUAUUUGGCAAGAGCAUAUUUACUAUGAAAUAUAGUAUUAUCAUGUUAUCAUAUUAUUAAAUGUGAACUUAUUCUUUAACAAUUAAAAAUAAGCAUUUAUCCAUUCUUGAAUAGCUGUCAAGGUGCAGACAUUGGGUGAUAUUACCGGAUGUAUGUUACAUGUUCACUGUACUGUCCUCUCCUGUAGGGUUCAGGGUACCAUUGUAAAAGUGAAGCCCAAGGUUGAAAGUGCCAUCCAAUUAGGAAGUGGUAAGAAAACACACACCCCGUGAUACACACAAAGUGCACACAUUACUCAUUACUGUGAUCCUGUGUGGCUCAGUUGUUAAAGCAUGGUGCUUGUAAUGCGUGGGUUCAAUUCCCACUGGGGCCACUCAGUGGGACACCUGACUGUUUAGUAGUUACUUUGGAUUGGGUUGCGGUCUAUGGAUUUGCUGGUAUCGUUGGACUCUUUCUUGCAAGAGGUAUUAGUUUUGAGUUUGGAUGACGAGUACCCUGUUUUUUUUAUCUCCAUUGUGUGUUUGGGUUUAUCCACUUUGUCUCUGUGUUUAAGCAAACACUCUGUAUCAGUGAGUCUCUGAGCUAGAGUCUGGUCUAGCGGUAGAGCUGUUGCCUCCAGACCAUAUCAAAUAUCAGGCCUACUACUGCUUCCUGUUGCCCUAUCCAGUUUUUCCUUUCUUGCUUCUAAUCUAUCUUCUUGAAUAAAAAUAGUCUGUGGUCCCCACUCUUGUGUCUCCUGGGCUCCAGGGUGAAGAAGCUCAUCUACCCUACAGGGCUGAUGGCUGCGGGACACUAUGUACUACCCCCAAGCGGCCGCAUCAAUCGCCAAGAACACUCGUUGUACGAUUUCGCCCUGCAGGGCUACGCUAACAUAGAGACAUUUUUCAAGUCCACCACCACCACACCUGUAGAGGGGAAGCCAAUGAAAAACAAGAGGAAAACAGCUCAGCUGCAGAGUCCGAAACCUGAACAUUUCUGCACAAUACCAGUCUUCCAGCACCUUCAUUGACCUGGUGGUCAAUUAGCCUCUUGAUCAGCCUGCAGAUGUAUAGAACACCCCAAUCACUUGUCAAUUCAUGAUAAAACACAGUGUACUUUACAUAGCAGGUGCUUAUGCUAACAAAUUAUUGCAGCUAAAGGCUUAGUGACUUAUUUCAGAUAAGGUGUGAUAGGAUCGACAAAGAUUAGCAGUAUUCCCAGGUAUAACAGGUCCAGCUCCCUGUAUGCUACUGUACAUAUUGUUAGGCUAACUCCCAAAUCUGCAAUAUCCCAGUGUUUCUCUGGCAUUUACCCAGGACCAGUCACUUAGGUUAUAAAAUGUAUGUUCAAUUUUGUGAUUUAAAUGUACUGUAUCUAUGUUGACCUGAAAAUGUUUUGUAUCUAUUGACAACAUUGCUUUUUUUACAGUAAACUAAAGGCCACAAAAAAAUACUAUAAUGGCACUCUAGGCAUGUGAGGACAAAUGAGUGGGAAAAAAAAUACUUGUUUGACAAGACAUUUAAGAGUCCUGUCCUUCCAUAAACAAGCCCCUACUUCUGAGCCAGACGUUAUCAUUGGUAGAAAAACAUAAGGAGUUUCGAAAGCAACAUGCCGAUUCCUCUAUGUGCUAGUACACAAUCACAUGACUAGCUGAUGUCAGUAUAGUUCUGGGGUGAUGUUAAAUGUUUAAGACAUCAGUUGACUUAGGUAUCCCCAUUUCCUUGAUGAAGGUAGGUCACUCACAACCAGUCAGAUGCAAGUAAAUUGAACUUGCUGACUU